GACGAACGCUGGCGGCGUGCUUAACACAUGUAAGUCGAACGCAGUGGCGAACGGGUGAGUAAUACGUGGGUAACCUGCCCUCCUUUUUGGGAUAAGCCUUGGAAACGGGGUCUAAUACCGAAUAAAGGGGGAUGGGCUCGCGGCCUAUCAGCUUGUUGGUGGGGUGAUGGCCUACCAAGGCGGUGACGGGUAGCCGGCCUGAGAGGGGGACCGGCCACAGAGGGACGGAGGUACGGCCCAGGGUACGACGGGAGGGAGAAGUGGGGGAUAUGGCAGAAGGGGCGACAGCCUGAUGCAGCGACGCUGCGUGGGGGAUGAGGGCUUUCGGGUUGUAAACCUCGUUCGCUAUAGAGAGGGUAGGUGGAGAAGAAGCGCCGGCUAACUACGUGCCAGCAGCCGCGGUAAUUC
rnacentral:rRNA from 1 species